AUUGAACGCUGGCGGCAUGCCUUACACAUGCAAGUCGAACGGCAGCAUGGAAGAGCUUGCUCUUCUGAUGGCGAGUGGCGAACGGGUGAGUAAAGCAUCGGAACGUACCGUGUAGUGGGGGAUAACGUAGCGAAAGUUACGCUAAUACCGCAUGCGCACUGAGGUGGAAAGCAGGGGAUCGCAAGACCUUGCGCUAUACGAGCGGCCGAUGUCGGAUUAGCUAGUUGGUAGGGUAAAGGCCUACCAAGGGGACGAUCUGUAGCGGGUCUGAGAGGAUGAUCCGCCACACUGGGACUGAGACACGGCCCAGACUCCUACGGGAGGCAGCAGUGGGGAAUUUUGGACAAUGGGGGAAACCCUGAUCCAGCCAUGCCGCGUGAGUGUAGAAGGCCUUCGGGUUGUAAAGCUCUUUCGGCUGGGAAGAAAUCGCACAGGCUAAUACUCUGUGUGGAUGACGGUACCAGCAUAAGAAGCACCGGCUAACUACGUGCCAGCCGCCGCCGUAA
rnacentral:rRNA from 1 species